CCAGCAACGCCGCGUGAAGGAUGAAAUCCCUCGGGAUGUAAACUUCGCAAGAACGGGAAGAAUAAGUAGGGGACAAUACCCCCUAUGAUGACGGUACCGUUUGUAAGCUCCGGCUAACUCCGUGCCAGCAGCCGCGGUAAUACGGGGGGAGCAAGCGUUGUUCGGAUUUACUGGGCGUAAAGGGCGCGUAGGCGGUCAGCACAAGUCAAUUGUGAAAUCUCCGAGCUUAACUCGGAAAGGUCAACUGAAACUGUGCGACUAGAGUGCGGAAGGGGCAACUGGAAUUCUUGGUGUAGCGGUGAAAUGCGUAGAUAUCAAGAGGAACACCUGCGGCGAAGGCGGGUUGCUGGGCCGACACUGACGCUGAAGCGCGAAAGCCAGGGGAGCGAACGGGAUUAGAUACCCCGGUAGUCCUGGCCUUAAGCGAUGAAUGCUUGGUGUCUGGGGUUAUAAAGUCCCCGGGUGCCGUCGCUAACGCUUUAAGCAUUCCGCCUGGGGAGUACGGUUGCAAGACUGAAACUCAAAGGAAUUGACGGGGACCCGCACAAGCGGUGGAGCAUGUGGUUUAAUUCGACGCAACGCGAAGAACCUUACCUGGGCUAGAAUGCCUCUGACAACCCUAGAGAUAGGGCCUCCAAGGUAAAACUUGGCAGAGUGCAAGGUGCUGCAUGGCUGUCGUCAGCUCGUGUCGUGAGAUGUUGGGUUAAGUCCCGCAACGAGCGCAACCCUUAUCUUUAGUUGCCAGCAUUAAGUUGGGCACUCUAGAGAGACUGCCGUUGACAAAACGGAGGAAGGUGGGGAUGACGUCAAGUCCUCAUGGCCUUUAUGUCCAGGGCUACACACGUGCUACAAUGGCCGGUACAAACCGCCGCAAACUCGCAAGAGGGAGCCAAUCGGAAAAAGC
rnacentral:rRNA from 1 species